UCGUCCCCGUAGGCAUAGUAUUGUCCAAUAAAAAUCGCGCUUUUUUUGUCCGACCUGGCGUCACCCUUCUGUACACCGAAGGGCAGCUAGGAUUGGGUGAUACGAUGCAACCGUGCAUUUCAGCGGUAGAAAAACAGAUGGGAUGGAUUGCAAACGUGAUCGUAUUUUAUAUUUUGAAAGCUAAUUUAACAUUUUGAUUUCAGUAGGUCUAUUUUUUACUUUGAUAAUAUAACAAAAUUAUUUAUGACUUCAAUUGAGUAAACAAAUGUCAGAUUUGUCCGCGAGCCAGAUGCAGUCACCAAAAGAGCCAUAUCUGGCUCGCGAGCCAUAGGUUCCCGACCCCUGGUCUACAGUA